GUCGAGCGGUAGAGAGGUGCUUGCACCUCUUGAGAGCGGCGGACGGGUGAGUAAAGCCUAGGAAUCUGCCUGGUAGUGGGGGAUAACGCUCGGAAACGGACGCUAAUACCGCAUACGUCCUACGGGAGAAAGCAGGGGACCUUCGGGCCUUGCGCUAUCAGAUGAGCCUAGGUCGGAUUAGCUAGUUGGUGAGGUAAUGGCUCACCAAGGCGACGAUCCGUAACUGGUCUGAGAGGAUGAUCAGUCACACUGGAACUGAGACACGGUCCAGACUCCUACGGGAGGCAGCAGUGGGGAAUAUUGGACAAUGGGCGAAAGCCUGAUCCAGCCAUGCCGCGUGUGUGAAGAAGGUCUUCGGAUUGUAAAGCACUUUAAGUUGGGAGGAAGGGCAUUAACCUAAUACGUUAGUGUUUUGACGUUACCGACAGAAUAAGCACCGGCUAACUCUGUGCCAGCAGCCGCGGUAAUACAGAGGGUGCAAGCGUUAAUCGGAAUUACUGGGCGUAAAGCGCGCGUAGGUGGUUAGUUAAGUUGGAUGUGAAAUCCCCGGGCUCAACCUGGGAACUGCAUUCAAAACUGACUGACUAGAGUAUGGUAGAGGGUGGUGGAAUUUCCUGUGUAGCGGUGAAAUGCGUAG
rnacentral:rRNA from 1 species